GAAACAUCUUCUUGCAACAUAGAAGUCGCGGUCAUAUAGUGUCGUCCUUUAAUUUAUUAUAACAGACGGCUGAGCCAACAAUAAAACAUCAUUAUUUUUAUUAAUUUAUUAGCAUUAUGCCGCAGAAGCAAAUGCUAAUACCAAUAAAUACAAGGCAAUAACCAUCAAAACUAGCUAUGGAACGAAAACCAAGAAUAUAUCACCUGCUCAGAACGCCGGCCACCUCCAUUAACAGCUCAUUCUUGACUACCAAAGGGGACAUUGUCGAUUAUUUUUAUUAAUUUGUCUCUUUGCUAUAGAGCAUUUCAUUAGUCUCUUGUCUUCCGAGCACAAUCCUCAUCAUCAUCAAUUUUCGCGUGUAUGCUUCAUUAUGGGUCGCGCUGUAGCAUGUUGGAUGCCUUUGUUAUUAUUUUUCUUUUUCACAACUUCAUCGUCCGGCGAUGGUAAUACUGCCGUCCUCAUCACCUUCAAGAACUCCCUCACUAAUUCCGCGGCGCUUUACAGUUGGAACGAGACAGUCAAUCCAUGCAAUUGGGUUGGUUUGCAUUGCAAAGAUGAUGGUGUCAUUGAUAAGUUGACCCUGGAGAACAUGGACCUGUCUGGCAUGAUUGAUAUAGACACCCUCGUCCAGUUGCCUAAGUUGAGAGCCUUGA
rnacentral:misc_RNA from 1 species